GUGGGGGAUAUUGCACAAUGGGGGAAACCCUGAUGCAGCGACGCCGCGUGAAGGAAGACGUACUUCGGUAUGUAAACUUCUAUCAGCAGGGAAGAAGAUGACGGUACCUGACUAAGAAGCCCCGGCUAACUACGUGCCAGCAGUCGCGGUAAUACGUAGGGGGCAAGCGUUAUCCGGAUUUACUGGGUGUAAAGGGAGCGUAGACGGUGAAGAAAGUCUGAUGUGAAAACCCGGGGCUCAACUCCGGGAUUGCAUUGGAAACUGUUUUACUUGAGUGCUGGAGGGGCAAGCGUAAUUCCUGGUGUAGCGGUGAAAUGCGUAGAUAUCAGGAAGAACACCGGUGGCGAAGGCGGCUUGCUGGACAGUAACUGACGUUGAGACUCGAAAGCGUGGGGAGCAAACAGGAUUAGAUACCCUGGUAGUCC
rnacentral:rRNA from 1 species